rnacentral:rRNA from 1 species
AGCGCAGGCGGGAAGACAAGUUGGAAGUGAAAUCCAUGGGCUCAACCCAUGAACUGCUUUCAAAACUGCUUUUCUUGAGUAGUGCAGAGGUAGGCGGAAUUCCCGGUGUAGCGGUGGAAUGCGUAGAUAUCGGGAGGAACACCAGUGGCGAAGGCGGCCUACUGGGCACCAACUGACGCUGAGGCUCGAAAGUGUGGGGAGCAAACA